rnacentral:tRNA from 1 species
GCUUGAUUUCACGUUGGCCACAAUAUUGACGCCAGCUUCCCAAGCUGGAUGUCGCCGGUUCGAUCCCGGUCUCCCGCUCCA